GGUAUUUUGGAACUGGUAUUUCUCAUAGGUGACUCCCAAGUCAUGUCUUCUGCCUAUCUCUCUCUAAAAUAAAUAAAAUCCUAGGCUAUGCCAAAUUUAUUGUUUGAAAACACCAGAAGUAUUCACCAAAGGUGCUUAGUUGAAGUUCACAACAUUAUUUGAAGCAGGGGUAAUUCCAAUGGAAAUACUCAAAAUUGAGUGACUUUCCCCCUGUCCCCAGGAGGGACUUCUUUAUGUGUCCUUGAAGGCAUAAAAGGUUCUUUGCUGCUCUUAUCAUGGUGAGGGUUUCAUUAGUGUCCAUCUGAGCAUUACUCUUGCCCAGAACCACAGUUUUUUUGUCUUUCACAGGCAAUCUUUGUUGAGAGAUUCAGUCAUUCUGAGGGUGUUGGUAUAAUAUUAAUAAGGCCUGUGUAUAUCCUUGAUUAUUUUAGCAACUUGACAGCUGCUAACAGUAAAGCAGCAUUUUCUGUGAUGUUAAAGGAACUUGAAAACCAUGGCAUAGUCAACCCUUAAAUUAAUUGUGUGGUCUUUAUAGGGAGAGAGAUACUUUCAGUCCAUGUCCUAAUCUGCUCAAAUGUGUUCAAGUUUCACAGAAAUGGUUGUGGUCAUCUCUCAGAGUACAAAAACACCCACACCCUAUUGAACCACUGGAACAAAGUGUGCCCAUGCUAUGGGACACUAAACCAUGUACUGAGAGGCUGUUCUUCAACAUGAGCAGUAGCACUGAGAAUGUGAAGGUUCUAGGGAAGCAGAAACCUUAAGAAGAGAGAUGAGAUUGGAGGCCCAUGGAUAACACAUAUCAGGACCACAGUUCCUCUGGUAAGUAGCCAUUCACUCUAUUACAACUUGGGUCUCACUAUGGGUUUGAAAAUAGGUUUUCCACUUUGCCUUUCCCUUGCCUGUAACUCCAGGCUAUGGUUUUCCAUCCUUAAUACUCACACCUGUGAUCUACAUCUCUAAGCUGGAUGGACUGACUUCCAGAGCUCAAUCUAUUUCCAAAGGAGCAUGAGGGCAUUCCCUAACCUACUCUCAGGGCCUCUUCCAGCAACUGCAAUAGGCUGCUUUAUAAUAAUCUAGAAAAAAAAUUAUGUGAGUACACCUGACACUGAGGAAAAUUAAAAGCCUGGCUGUAUUUUAAGUCAUGUAAGAGAAUGACUUAGUGAUAAUGGAAGUUAGAACGGUGAAGACUGAUGUUGUUAUACAUUAUAAAGCAUUUUCUGUUAGCAUGGGACCAACUGGAAAUCUUUCAAUAAACCAAUUUGAGUUUAAGGACAGAGAGAAAACAGGAAAAAUAUUCCAGUGCUUUGUAUCUUUGGUUUUUUGAAAUUCUAUCCACACCACAUAUUUGAAUUAAUUUAACAUAAUUGAUGAGGAAAAAUUGGCUAAACCACUUCAACAACACAAGAAACCUAUUUGGAUAGAUCUUAGGUUCAUUGAAGCAGCUCCUUGAAAUCAGUGGCAGAUUUUGAAGAAUGUGAAGUUGAUUAUCUACAUAAUUGACAGAGGAUGUUUAGAUUUUGUUCUGAACAAGCCUACAGUACUUGAAGUUCCAUAGAUGCAGAUGGUUCAGUGUCUGAGCCUUAAUGAUUUCUGAGAUAAACAAAGAUAUUUUCUGAACACUGAGGUCAAGCCAGGUAAAUUUUGAAUUGACGUUAGAAAUUGAACCAUCUGUUAGAAAUAACAGUGUUUAUUAUGACUUUCCUAUAUGACAAUUGUGAUUUAAUAUUGAAUAACUAGAAAUGUAGAAAUACACUUAAAUAUAUAUAUAUAUAUAUAUAUAUAUAUAUAUGCUUCAAAUAUACACAUUUUUCUAAAUCUUCAGUGUUACUUGUCUUAUAUGUUAGUCUAAAUGAUUUUAACUAAUGCAUAUGAACCAGCUUGGUCUGUUUCAACUCAAACAUUAUAGCCAGAUGAAUUAUUUUCAUUCAGUUGGGUUUUUGUAAACCCCAGAGUGUACCAAGGCAAAGCACUGUGGAUACUUCAGCAGUUAAUAUAUAUAUUUUCUUAUGGAGGGAAUCAUUAAGAAAUCACUUACAUACUGUAAUGUACUCAAAUUAGUAUGAGCUAUUUUCACAGAAUUCGAUAAUGUGAUUGAUUCCACUUUAGGACUCAAUCUAAUGGUAGUGGAACUCUUCCAUCUCUGAAAAAUUAAGUGGUUUAACAAUACAUCUAAGAGAAGAAAUAUAUCAAAAUAUAUUGUCUAUAUGACUUUCAGUGAUGUUUUGCCAAUUAUAAAUAUUAAACAUAAUAAUUAUUUAUAAGUUAUAAUAAACAUAUGUUAUUAGAAAUAUAAGCCUAUUAUAUUUGCAGUAAUUGUCUGUAAAGAUUGUGGCAUUUAGAGAACUGCGUCCUUGUUUGAACAUGUGAGGAACGUCCUUUAUUCAGGGAUUUCUCCAGCAGAGGCUACUGGGAGGGCAGGGAUGGCAGAGAAGCAUUGAUUCCUUUCCCAAGCACGUAAGGCACACAUUGGAAGGAAGCAGGAUUGCAGGGGGCUGGCAGAGCAGCAUUUUCCUAACAGGCUUUGUGACUUUUGUUGUGCCUUCCAGCACAAAAGAACAUCUGACUCUUGCAGAGGGCAGAGAAGGAGAUGGAUGGCACUGAUUAUCUGCUUUCCCUGCUGAGUAAAAUGGAUCAUGUUCUCCCUCUGCAAGGAGAAACUUGUGCUUGCCCAUGUUUUCUUUGUUUUGACUCUCAAAAGAAAGCCAGAUCUGGGUGGUUAUUUGUUUGUGAAGUACAGCCCAGUCACUCCAGUGGCACCUGCCCAGGGUGUGGGGCCUUAGAGCAGCACCCAGAGGGAUACAAGGUGUGGACACCGUGCUGGGGCAGCCUGGCCACCAUCUGUAGUGGCUUCCUGUCUCCGUGGCAGCAGAGCCACCUGGAGCAAUCAUCUCUGUUCCUGUCCCUGCAUCCCAGAUCCAGAGCAGGGAGCAGAAGGCUGGGCCUGCCUUUGGCAGGAAGUGGCCCAGGUCUCUCCAAGUGUUUGCUGGCUGGCUGUCCAAGGGGUCAGUGAGAUUCCUGCAUGUCCUCCAAGGGCAGAGACCCCUCUGCUCUCUAGUGCCACCCCAAGCUUUUUAAGGACUGCCAUCUGCCUCUUCUGAAAAAAGUCCUAUUAAGUCCCUCUGGGCUCUAAGAUGGUGUGGAAGGAUUGGGGAGUUCAGACUUUUUCUGCCAUUGGUAUCAUCAGAGCCCAGCAUUGCUGAGAUGAUCGUGCUGUGGCACCACUGCUGAGUCAUUCUCUGGGUUUCCACAGCUGACACUUCCUCACUUUGAGAUUGGCAACGAGCCUAGGCUAAAAGGGGACAGAAUUAACUUAUUUUUAGGUUAGUGAAGCUGAGCUUAUUAUCCCAUUGUUAGUUGUGUUUAAAACAAUUGCUUUAAAUUUUUACUAAACACAUUAUGUGUGUAUCUAUGUUGUUAAUUCUGCCAUAAAGAUUAUGGAUUAGGAACUGAUUAAGAACCACUAAAGUACCAGAUCUCUGGGUAAGAUAUAAUGAAUUAUUCAUCCUGUUAUCCUAGCGCAAUCACAAUAAUGCCUCGGUGCUAAUUAGCAGGUGGAUGGGCUGACACAAAGUAAGGAAUGCCCAGGAGAUAUGUUAUUCAACCUAUAUUCUGAUUCCUUGUGAUAAAUACACUUUCUGACCUUACAAUUUAUUUCUUACUCAAUAGAAACAAGUCUUAUUUUUCUCUCUGUUAUUUCAACUUGUGUUUUUUAAAAUCAAUUACUUUUUUAGGGCUAACUAGCCUGAGACCUGAAGCUUUUAAGAGCUUCUGGGACAGCUGCUGCAAAGUUUUACUAUUAUUUCUCACUAUAAUACUUUGUCCUUACUGGUGAGCUGCAUGUUACCAAUUCUUCUAUUAUGUGCGAUUUUAUUGUCUUGUAUCAGUCAGAGCAGAAUUUGUCUUAUUCCUAAUUAACCUAGAACUUGUAUGUGCACUUGUAAAGCAUGGCACUUACUGUGGGAAUGAAUUAGAUAUUUGUGCAUAUUAAUCUUUGUUAUUUAGGGCAACACAGUUUAUAGCAGAUUUGUUUUUGCUUGGCCAUCAAUUAUUAUUGUAGAUUUUUAUCUUUCUCCCUUUUAAGCAAAUUCUCAGCAUUUUGUUUUACUUAAUGUUGUCAUAUAUCAUUGUUCACCAAAGAGAUUUAUCAGAAGUCAAACAAAAGGACAUUUUGUAUUUUGCCACAUUUCUUAAAAAUUCCUAGUUUUUGAAACAAGACUACAGCCUGAAGCAUAGCUUAAUGCAGCUGUUUCAGUCUCACACCUCAGCCUGAAAAAACCCCAUCUCACUACCAAAACAGUCCUCACCACCUAUUUCCCACUUCUUUUCUUCUCUAGCAGAUAUUUUCCUUAAUUCUGUGCUGACCCUGCUGAGCUUUCCUUCCACUCCCAUGCAGAAAUAAUUCUGAUAACUUCAUGAAGAUGUAACUGGUUUGUGAGACCUGUUGAUUGUAUGGGAAUGCCCAGCUUAGCCUGAUUUUUGUGUGAGUUGUGCAGCUGACUGCUCCAUGAAUAUCUUUUGAUUUAGGGAGGAAGUGUAUGAGGACAGAAGAAUAACUUGGGGGAACCACUGCUGGUCUUCUUUGUGUCUGUCUCUGGUGUUUGUGUUUCCGCUCAUCAACAGCGUGAGAUAUUUAUUCUCCCUUUCCUAUCCUCCUCCUCCCCUUUUCCUGUUUCUCUCCCUCGGCCACCACAUCCUUCCUAGUGCUGCUUAUCUCUGAGAAUUUUUCUUCCCUCUCUCAGUUCUCACUCUGCUGUGUGUGAUUAAGCACCUGGAACAUUUCCAGCCUGAUGACUGCAGGGUUUUGCAAUGAAACCCCUUGGAGAUUUACUGAGUGGGCUGCUCUGAAGGAGUUGGACUUUAUGAGCCCUAAUGCCUGCCUCUGUAGAGAUUUGGAAAGUGCUUGGCAUAUUAAAUGCAUAAACAAUCUGCAUGAGGUCUUGAGGUACAAAAAUGUUUCCUUGUGACAAACUAUACAAAGUCCUUUGUAUAGGAAUGUGCUCUUUUCCUUUGUGCUGAACUGUACAGAGCUGGGCUGGUGGGCACUGCUGCCAGGGACUCUGUGGGUUAGUCUGAGACAAAUAUCUCAUCUACAGCCAUGCUCAAAUUAGGUUUCUAAGCUUCACAUUAUUUGAAGUUUGGGUCUGAAUAGACCAGCUGAGGUUCAUCUGCAACUGUAAAAAACAAGUCACUUUUAGCAGAAGAUGUCACAGCUGCAACCCUGCGUUGCUGAGCUGCAAUGUUACAAUCACAAUCCCUACAUCUGAUUCUACAUUAACUCCAUCUGAAAAGAGUGGUGGAGGGCAAUAAUGGUGCUGAAUAAACUGUACUAAGGUUUUUCUUUAGAGAGACUGUGUGAGGAUGCCUUGAUGGAUGCUGGAUGCUCUGUGAUAGACCUGAAAGCUUUCUCAGGAACAUUGCUCUAAGCUUUAGCCUGCAGGCUGUCCUCAGAAGCAGAACUUUUUGUUACUUUAUCUUGCACUCAAGGCUGUAUACACGGAUAAAACACUGUGUAUCAGUAAUGCUGGCCUUUUAUUGCCAAGAAGCUUUUUCCCAGGAGUUUAUAGCCAUUUAACAUAAAGCUGGCAGUAACAUUGUCUGCUGGCUGAGACUGGCCAGAGCUAAAGCAGGAUUGAAUGUAGAAAGGAUAUUUGUACUCAGUAAAUUCAAAUAUUUGGGAGUUUAACAGAAUUGGAAGAAGAUCUAGAAAAUCAAAAAGAAGGGACACUCUUUUAUCUUGAUGAGGGUCUGAAGGAGCUUUCAGUAAAAGGAAAAUACAUUUUCAUCUGUCAGCUGGCCAAGUUCUUAUUAUUGUGGCUUCAACUACAAAGAGCAGAAGGGAGAGGGCAAAGGAAUCUUCUCCUCAAGCCCUGUAGAGGUGUGGCAGCAACACCUGGUUUUUGGCAUUGCUGUGAAAGAGCCCUGGGUAAUCAGUCAGAGAAUGGAAAUAUAUUAGAAAAUGUACCUAUAUAUUCUAUGUAGUGUCUUUUCCCUCAGUGUCUCUCUGGAGAUUUCUGACAGUUUCUUCUGGAUUGUCAGAAGUCCCUCCAGUAAAUCAGUGUUUGAACCAUGCUUAAACUUCCUGUGACCAUGCAUGCUUUGAUUCAGAAUCUCUGACCUAAAUAACGUAUUAGAGAUUAGAGAAUUAAGAUUUUUUAGCAACAAACUGUUGUUCAAAUUACUUAACAUUUCUUCUUUUUUGUCUUCUGUCUGUUCUUCAAUUUGUCCAUCCAUUCCUUUUCCUUGCACCUUUUGUUGUUACAAAGUUCAUAUUUUUACCUCAAUUAUCUUUUAUCCUGCUCUUCCCUGAGCCCUCCUUUGUCCUUUCUGACCUAUCUUCCCACUUAAAGUACUUUCUUCCUGGCCUCAUGGAGCAUUGCCAUGGUGACCAGAUGACAUCACUGCACUGGAAGGGUUGCCUAGGAAACCAUAUGAUGUCAUUGCACUGGAGGCAGUUGCCAUGGUUACUGAGUUGGCUGAGGUGACUGGGAAAAAGGGUUUGUCAUCUGAUGGGUGCCAGGAAAUGUUCCCAUAAACUGGAAUAAAGAAGAGACUUUUAUUUAUAUUUUUAUAUUCCAGGGAGGGCUGCCUGUGACUCAAAGACUCCAUUGCUUUAUGUCCUAUAACUUCUCUGGCUGGGCUGUUUCCAUUGGUCUCUGGGAUCUUACCCACCUGUUUCUACUGUUGAAUGUUACUGUGAACAUCAAACCAUACCAAAAUGGAGAAAAGCUGUGGUUCUGCAUAAGAUGGGACUGCAGUUUCUAUUGCUCUUUGUUUUUCUCUCUUUGGUUCCCUUGGUUUCUGAGAUAAAUAGCCCAGCCCAGUAUUUAUCCCAGCAGACAUCAGAGGUGCUGUAACAGUGAAUGUCACAGCCUGAGCUUGCUGCAUCUGCACCGGGCUCUGUGUGUGUCUGUAAUUUGUUUUCCACUUCUUUCCUACCUUUCCCAAUUUCUAUUUCAUCAUUGCUGACGUGUACCUGUCUUAUUUUAAUAAUUCCAGCAGUUCCCAGAAACAUCUUAUGUGAAAGGUGAAGCAAAGGUUAAACAAAAAGUAGGAGGCAGCUAUUAGAGAUGGGAAAGGUGCUGAAGAACAAGUUUAGUGAGUGUGUGUGAUUCAUGUAAGGAUGUGGGGAUGUAAACAGUGGUUAGCACUGUUUGUGGUGUGCAGAUCUCUACCUCUGUCAGCAUUUGUGUAUGUACAUAAACAUACAUGCAAUUGCUCUGUGGACAAGUAAAUAACUUUUUAUGAAAACAGCUUUUCCAAGAUUUCUGCAAUUUGAGUGUCUUGGGCAUAUUAGUCAAGUCAUGCAUGUGUGAGUGUGAUUCACAUGUCAAAUAAAGUCUGUGCUCUCAGUAGCCCUGCAGAUGCUCUGGAGCUCACUAGAAACUAAUUACAAACUUUCCACUGAAGUUCAGGGAACGAGCCAUUCUUUGGCCCCACUGUGUGCAGACAUCUUCAGGCUGAAAAUCAAAAUCCUUACAGUUACUGUGGAGCUGCAAACAGGAAUGAAGUCAAAGGAGCCAUGGAGCGUGCUGAUGUCAGGCCAGGUAACAGGAAUUUAGGGGCACCUGAACUAUUGACUGAAAUCCAGGGCUCCUGAAAUGUUAGGAGGAUGCUGGAAUGGGGGUAGCAGCUCAGCUCUGGCAGAACUAGGAGGAAAAUCCAAAAGAGGGUAUGUAAUUCAUUGGGCAGGGAACAGAAUUUCCACUUAGGUAUGGGGAGAAGAAAGACUAUCGAUAGAGUUUGGGGGUUUUUGAUGUUUGUUUAUCUUGGGUUCCCCUCCUUAUGCUUUAAAAGUACUGUUUGAUUGACUAUUUAUUUUUUCAGCAUACUGAACAAAGCAAUCUCAGCCUUAGUGCCAGGGUAACUGUAAAAGAAAGUUGUGCUUCAUAUCUGAAAUAAUUUAAUGUCAUUUUGAUCAGAUGUCAAGGAACAAAUCAGCUCACAGAGGGGGAAAGCAGCAGCCAGUCAGUGCUCAGGUCUUCCCAACAACCAGGUGAGACAUGAAUAGUCACUUGCUUGUGCUUCAGAUCUGUGUGUAAAGCCCAAUUCUGGUUUGAAAACAGUGUUUAAUCAAUUGACAUGCUAUGGUGGGGUUUGCAAAUCAGGCUGCUCUGUUCAUGGUGAGCCAAGGGACUUGCAUCACUGUAAAGUAAGUCAGUAAUCCUGGCCUUUCCUGGGCUUUAAUGGGCUGGAACAGCCUUGCAGGUACUAGUCUGGGAUGUUGCUGAAUCUGUAAUUUGAGGGAUAUUUGACCUUACUGUUAAUGGCCACUUGUGUUACUUUUUCUGUUAACUGAGCUUCAGAAUGACCCCUGAACUUGAAUUUGUUUUAUUUCAACACUGUACCUGGCAACUUGAAGUUAUUGUAUUUAAGUACAUUUUAAACAUUUAUGUUUGGAUGACAUUUACUGGUAAAAUAUGAGAAAGCAAGCAAGAAACUAGACUGUGUUUGUUUAACUGUCAGAGAGGUGUAGGGAAAGGUUGGUAGAGCUUAUGGGGUUUUGGUAAAUUUUACCUGAAAUCCAUAUUUUUAUGAUUCAUACUCCAGCUUUUCCUGUCUCUGGACUUUCACCAAUGUCAGGUUUCUGUAAAUAUUUAAAUAAUAAAAAUUUAAAUAAUUUAAAUAAUAUUUAAAUAAUGUAUGCUGUGUUGUAGCAAUACUGGAGAUCUCAAGUGGCACAGAAUUACAGAUUUGUUUUCCUCUAGUGUGAAGCACUUGGGGUUUGUGCAUGGUGAAGUUCUGUGAGUAGCAGUGGAGGUUUGUGGUGCUGCAGGACACCUACAGACAGUCCUGUGAGAGCUCAGCUUUUGCUGACUAAUGCUUCCAUCUGCUGGAGAAGUUUGUUUGCACAGCGUUCACUCUGUACUGUACUCAGAGAAAUAAAAUCUUGCUCAUUAAA
ensembl:lncRNA